CACACACCGCCCGUCACACCAUGGGAGUGGGUUGUACCAGAAGUAGGUAGCCUAACCGCAAGGGGGGCGCUUACCACGGUAUGAUUCAUGACUGGGGUG
rnacentral:rRNA from 1 species